rnacentral:rRNA from 1 species
UACAGAGGGUGCGAGCGUUGUCCGGAAUCACUGGGCGUAAAGCGCGCGUAGGUGGCCUCGUAAGUCCGCUGUGAAAGUCAAAGGCUCAACCUUUGAAAGCCGGUGGAUACUGUGAGGCUAGAGUACGGAAGAGGCGAGUGGAAUUCCUGGUGUAGCGGUGGAAUGCGCAGAUAUCAGGAGGAACACCAAUAGCGAAGGCAGCUCGCUGGGACGUUACUGACACUGAGGCGCGAAAGCGUGGGGAGCGAACAGG